CGACGUGAGUAACCUGCCUCUAAGAGGGGAAUAACAUUCUGAAAAGAAUGCUAAUACCGCAUAACAUAUAUUUAUCGCAUGGUAGAUAUAUCAAAGAUUUAUCGCUUAGAGAUGGACUCGCGUCCGAUUAGUUAGUUGGUGAGGUAACGGCUCACCAAGACCGCGAUCGGUAGCCGGACUGAGAGGUUGAACGGCCACAUUGGGACUGAGACACGGCCCAG
rnacentral:rRNA from 1 species